rnacentral:rRNA from 1 species
CCUACGGGCGGCAGCAGUGGGGAAUAUUGGACAAUGGGGGCAACCCUGAUCCAGCCAUGCCGCGUGUGUGAAGAAGGCCCUCGGGUUGUAAAGCACUUUCAGUGAGGAAGAACGCCUGGUGGUUAAUACCCAUCAGGAAAGACAUCACUCACAGAAGAAGCACCGGCUAACUCCGUGCCAGCAGGCGCGGUAAUACGGAGGGUGCGAGCGUUAAUCGGAAUUACUGGGCGUAAAGCGCGCGUAGGUGGCUUGAUAAGCCGGUUGUGAAAGCCCCGGGCUCAACCUGGGAACGGCAUCCGGAACUGUCAAGCUAGAGUGCAGGAGAGGAAGGUAGAAUUCCCGGUGUAGCGGUGAAAUGCGUAGAGAUCGGGAGGAAUACCAGUGGCGAAGGCGGCCUUCUGGACUGACACUGACACUGAGGUGCGAAAGCGUGGGUAGCAAACAGGAUUAGAUACCCGUGUAGUC